AAAACAAACCUACGGGAGGCAGCAGUGGGGAAUAUUGGACAAUGGGCGCAAGCCUGAUCCAGCCAUGCCGCGUGAGUGAUGAAGGCCUUAGGGUUGUAAAGCUCUUUCACCGGAGAAGAUAAUGACGGUAUCCGGAGAAGAAGCCCCGGCUAACUUCGUGCCAGCAGCCGCGGUAAUACGAAGGGGGCUAGCGUUGUUCGGAAUUACUGGGCGUAAAGCGCACGUAGGCGGACUUUUAAGUCAGGGGUGAAAUCCCGGGGCUCAACCUCGGAACUGCCUUUGAUACUGGAAGUCUUGAGUAUGGAAGAGGUAAGUGGAAUUGCGAGUGUAGAGGUGAAAU
rnacentral:rRNA from 1 species